GGACGAUUAGCUCAGCGGGAGAGCAUCGCCUUCACACGGCGGGGGUCACUGGUUCAAAUCCAGUAUCGUCCACCA
rnacentral:tRNA from 1 species